GGCGGCGUAGCUCAGUUGGUUAGAGCACACGGUUCAUACCCGUGGUGUCGGGGGUUCGAAUCCCUCCGCCGCUACCA
rnacentral:tRNA from 1 species